CUAUUUUUAAAUUUGUUUUUAUUUUUUGACAAUGUCUAACAUAAUAGAUAGUAUUAAUUAUUUAUUAAGAGUAACAUAGAUAUUAGUCACUCUAACUUUUAACAUGAGAGAUCGAAUAUUAAAAAUCACUUCAUAAAUAAUAAUUUAGAUAUAUUUGAUAUAUUUUAUAAAUAUUGAAUAGUUUGGAUGGUUCAAAUAAAAAGAGAAAUAAAUCAGAUUAUUUCAAUUAUUUUAAAUACACCAAAUAAUUUGAAAAUAGGUAAAUUAAAUAUUUUAGUUUUAAAAUAGUUUUAAAUCUAAAUUAUAUUUUUUAGUAUUCAUUUGAUUUUUAACUCCAAAUAUUUUGGAUGUUAGAAAUAUAAAAAAUAGUUAUUCAUAUUUUUGGUUUACUUUUGUAAUUUGGUUUGGUAUUUAAUUUGCCAUGUCUAGUUUGAUUAACAAAGGUAUAAGGAUCUCCAAAAAAAAAGCAAACGGAAAUGUCGAACCCGUGACUUGAAGGUAUUGGCCGGCGCAACCUUAUGUAUUGAGACAGAACACUCUUUGGCUUUUUUUUCUCUCUCUCACACAGACAUCAUCCUCAUCACACCCUUUCCUCGCACGCUCACAUUCACCACCUCUCUUCUAUUCUUCUUUCAUGGCUUCUCUCUCAGAUCUGAUCCACCAGUUGCACUUCUUUGUUUUCCAAUCUUAAGAUCCAAACCUCUCGCCCAAAUCAGUCGUACCUAACCUCACGCGCCACCGCCAUGUCCACUCCACCACUGCUCCCUGUCACCAAUCAGCAAGCUGUUCAAUCUCAGCCACCAAUCAACACUCCCGCCUUCCAUACCUUCUUCUCACGCCUAUCCACCUCGAUCCGCGACGGCUUAUCACAACGCCGCCCAUUGGCAGAGCUCGUCGAUCGGAGCUCCAUGGCGCGACCUGAAUCCCUCACCGACGCUUUGUCACGGAUCCGGAAGAAUCUGGCCUACUUUAAGGUGAACUACGUCGCCGUCAUUCAAUUAUAAAGGAGGAGAAACAGAGGAAGUUGAAACGAAACCAUCAAGGAAUGAGUUAAGAAAAUAAUUGAAUGAGGAAGUGUGGGUUGUGUGUGAUAACGGUGAAUUGCAAUUAAAAGAAAAUUAAAAAAAGAAGAAAACGCAAGAGACGUGUGUUUUGUCGUCUCGUGAAGGAACGCCUCCUGGUGGACGCGUGUCAACAAACGAGAGGCUGGAGGUUUGGUUACGCAUUAAACGCAUCUCAAACUUGUCUUUCUCUCUCUCUCUCUCUCUCUCUCUCUCUCUCAAGCUCUCGACGAAGGCGAUAUGUUUGGCGAUUUGAUAGAUUAUGCAUGUGAUUGAGCCUCUUGUUGGUAUGAUCGGUUGUUACAUGUUGAUUCUCGUCGAAUCCUUCUCUCGGUGGUUCUCCUCGACGGCGCCGGAGCUCUCCUCUACGGUGCGGGAGCUCUCCUCGACGGCGACAGAGCUCUCCUCGAUGGCGAUAAAGCUGUAUGUCGGUGGCGACGGAGCUCUCUCACAGUGACUCUCCUCGAAUCGAAGGUAAAGCUUCUGUUGUCUCAUGUUCUGAAUUUUUUUUUAAUUUUUCAUGGAUCAAAAUCGAUUUGUUGUAUGGAUGGAUCAAAUUUGAUAUGUUCAAAAAUCACUGAUAAAAUCGUUUUGUAUAAGUUCUGACUUGUUGUUUGAGUGUGUGGGUUUCUCAAAUACAUUGUUGAUCAAGUUAGUAGUCUCUGACUUCCGGUUUCUCUGUUUGUAUGUUUUCAAUCUCAACGAUCCACGGUGCAAGAGGAAGGAACCUCAAAGCAGAAGAGUGCAAAGCAGAGCAAUACAGGUGAGAUUCAUAAGCUCCAUAAAGGAGGCAUCCAGCUGGUGAAUGUCUCGGAUGCGCUUGCCGAUCUAUUCCACCAAAUCAGAGGCGGGUAUAUCAAACGUAAAAAUAAACAUUGUGAAUAUGGGACUGCCACUGGCCAAUGUGUUUAUACAGUCAACCUCCAGGCGGCAGCAGGCUCGUUAAUCAGUGAAUCCCCAUGGGUUUUAGAUCGUAUAUGUUUGCAAUUAUGACAGUCGCUGUUGAGUUGGAUUUAUUAUCUCAUAAAUUUUGUUUAUAUACAAUUAUGCAGGCUUUUAACGUUUAAACGAGUAAAAAUUUGCAUCUUAA